rnacentral:snRNA from 1 species
GUGCUCACUUCAGCAGCACAUAUACUAAAAUUGGAACAAUACAGAUUAGCAUGGCCCCUGCGCAAGGAUGACAUGCAAAUUUGUGAAGCGUUCCAUAUUUUU